ACCGACUCUCUUUUCGGACUCAGUCCGCCUGCACCCGGGUGAAAUAAACAGCCAUGUUGCUCACACAAAGCCUGUUUGGUGGUCUCUUCACACGGACGUGCAUGAAAUUUGGUGCCGUGACUCGGAUCGGGGGACCUCCCUUGGGAGAUCAAUCCCCUGUCCUCCUGUUCUUUGCUCCACGAGAAAGAUCCACCUACGACCUCAGGUCCUCAGACUGACCAGCCCAAGGAACAUCUCACCAAUUUUAAAUCAGCCACUCCCAGAGCCCCUGGAACUCUGGCCCAAGGCUGACUGACUCCUUCCCAGAUCUUCUCGGCUUAGCGGCUGAAGACUGACACUGCUUGAUCGCCUCGGAAGCCCCCUAGACCAUCACAGACGCCGAGCUUCCGGUAACUCUCACAGUGGAAGGUAAGCCCGUCCCCUUCUUAAUCAAUACGGAGGCUACCCACUCCACAUUACCUUCUUUUCAAGGGCCUGUUUCCCUUGCCUCCAUAACUGUUGUGGGUAUUGACGGCCAGGCUUCUAAACCUCUUAAAACUCCCCAACUCUGGUGCCAACUUAGACAAUACUCUUUUAAGCACUCCUUUUUAGUUAUCCCCACCUGCCCAGUUCCCUUAUUAGGCUGAGACACUUUAACUAAAUUGUCUGCUUCCCUGACUAUUCCUGGACUACAGCUAUAUCUCAUUGCCGCCCUUCUUCCCAAUCCAAAGCCUCCUUUGCGUCCUCCUCUUGUAUCCCCCCACCUUAACCCACAAGUAUAAGAUACCUCUACUCCCUCCUUGGCGACCAAUCAUGCACCCGUUACCAUCUCAUUAAAACCUAAUCACCCUUACCCCACUCAACGCCAAUAUCCCAUCCCGCAGCAUGCUUUAAAAAGAUUAAAGCCUGUUAUCACUUGCCUGCUACAGCAUGGCCUUUUAAAGCCUAUAAACUCUCCUUACAAUUCCCCCAUUUUACCUGUCCUAAAACCGGACGAGCCUUACAAGUUAGUUCAGGAUCUGCGCCUUAUCAACCAAAUUGUUUUGCCUAUCCACCCCGUAGUGCCAAACCCAUAUACUCUCCUAUCCUCAGUACCUGCCUCUAUAACCUAUUAUUCUGUUCUAGAUCUCAAACAUGCUUUCUUUACUAUUCCUUUGCACCCUUAAUCCCAGCCUCUCUUCACUUUCACUUGGACUGACCCUGACACCCAUCAAGCUCAGCAAGUUACCUAGGCUGUACUGCCGCAAAGCUUCACAGACAGCCCCUAUUACUUCAAUCAAGCCCAAAUUUCUUCCUCAUCUGUUACCUAUCUCAGCAUAAUUCUCAUAAAAACACACGUGCUCUCCCUGCCAAUCAUGUCCGACUAAUCUCUCAAACCCAAGCACCUUCUACAAAACAACAACUCCUUUCCUUCCUAGGCAUGGUUAGCGUGGUCAGAAUUCUUACACAAGAGCCAGGACCGCACCCUGUAGCCUUUCUGUCCAAACAACUUGACCUUACUGUUUUAGCCUAGCCCUCAUGUCUGCGUGCAGCGGCUCCCGCUGCUUUAAUACUUUUAGAGGCCCUCAAAAUCACAAACUAUGCUCAACUCACUCUCUACAGUUCUCAUAACUUCCAAAAUCUAUUUUCUUCCUCAUACCUGACGCACAUACUUUCUGCUCCCCGGCUCCUUCAGCUGUACCCACUCUUUGUUGAGUCUCCCACAAUUACCGUUGUUCCUGGCCCAGACUUCAAUCCGGCCUCCCACGUUAUUCCUGAUACCACACCUGACCCCCAUGACUGUAUCUCUCUGAUCCAUCUGACAUUCACCCCAUUUCCCCAAAUUUCCUUCUUUCCUCUUCCUCACCCUGAUCACGCUUGAUUUAUUGUUGGCGGUUCCACCAGGCCUAAUCACCACACACCAGCAAAGGCAGGUUAUGCUAUAGUACAAGCCACUAGCCUGCCUCUUAGAACCUCUCAUUUCCUUUCCAUCGUGGAAAUCGAUCCUCAAGGAAAUAACUUCUCAGUGUUCCAUCUGCUAUUCUAGUACUCCUCAGGGAUUAUUCAGGCCCCCUUCCUUCCCUACACACCAAGCUCAAGGAUUUGCCCCACCCAGGACUGGCAAAUUAGCUUUACUCAACAUGCCCUGAGUCAGAUAACUAAAAUACCUCUUAGUCUAGGUAGAUACUUUCACUGGAUAGGUAGAGGCCUUUCCUACAGGGUCUGAGAAGGCCACCGCAGUCAUUUCUUCCCUUCUGUCAGACAUAAUUCCUCAGUUUAGCCUUCCCACCUCAAUACAGUCUGAUAACAGACAAGCAUUUAUUAGUCAAAUCAGCCAAGCAGUUUUUCAGGCUCUUAGUAUUCAGUGAAACCUUUAUGUCCCUUAUGGUCCUCUGUCUUCAAGAAAAGUAGAAUGGACUAAAGGUCUUUUAAAAACACACUCAGCCACCAACUUAAAAAGGACUGGACAAUACUUUUACCACUUUCCCUUCUCAGAAUUCAGGCCUGUCCUCGGAAUGCUGCAGGGUACAGCGCAUUUGAGCUCCUGUAUAGACACUCCUUUUUAUUAGGCCCCAGUCUCAUUCCAGACACCAGACCAACUUACACUGUGCCGCAAAAAACUUGUCAUCCCUACUAUCUUCUGUCUAGUCAUACUCCUAUUCACCAUUCUCAACUACUCAUACAUGCCCUGCUCUUGUUUACACUGCCGGUUUACACUGUUUUUCCAUGCCAUCACAGCUGAUAUCUCCUGGUGCUAUCCCCAAACUGCCACUCUUAACUCUUGAAGUAAAUAAAUAAUCUUUGCUGGCAGGACUAUGCUGAAUCUCCUUAGGCACUCUCUAAUCAGAUAUCCUGAGUCGUCCCAAUUCUUAGACCUUUUAUACCUGUUUUUCUCCUUCCUUUAUUCCAUUUAGUUUCUCAAUUCAUCCAAAUCCAUAUCUAGGCCAUCACCAAUCAUUCUAUAUGACAAAUGUUUCUUCUAACAUCCCCACAAUAUCACCCCUUACCACAA
rnacentral:lncRNA from 1 species